GACGUAGGGCGCGAGCGUUGUCCGGAUUUAUUGGGCGUAAAGAGCUCGUAGGCGGCUUGUCGCGUCGACUGUGAAAUCCCGCGGCUCAACUGCGGGUCUGCAGUCGAUACGGGCAGGCUAGAGUUCGGUAGGGGAGACUGGAAUUCCUGGUGUAGCGGUGAAAUGCGCAGAUAUCAGGAGGAACACCAGUGGCGAAGGCGGUGCUCUGGGCCGGAACUGACGCUGAGGAGCGAAAGCGUGGGGAGCAAACAGG
rnacentral:rRNA from 1 species